GAUGAACGCUGACAGAAUGCUUAACACAUGCAAGUCUUUGGCGAAGCUGUGCUCGCACAGCCUAGCCAAGGCGGACGGGUGAGUAACGCGUCAGGAACUUGCCCUGCAGUCAGGGAUAACAGACGGAAACGACUGAUAAGAUCUGGUAAAGUCAGGCGGACUCAUGUCCAGCCUGAUGAAAAGAGGUGCUGCAGGAGAGCCUUGCGUCCUAUUAGCUUGUUGGUGGGGUAACGGCCCACCAAGGCGAUGAUAGGUAGCCGGCCUGAGAGGGUGGACGGCCACAGGGAGAGUGAGAUACGGCCCUUACUCCUACGGGAGGCAGCAGUGGGGAAUAUUGGACAAUGGGGGCGACCCUGAUCCAGAAAUUCUGUGUGCACGAUGAAGGUUUUCGGAGUGUAAAGUGCUUUCAGCAGGGAAGAAAAAAAUGACGGUACCUGCAGAAGAAGCGACGGCUAAAUACGUG
rnacentral:rRNA from 1 species